UACGUAGGGUCCGAGCGUUGUCCGGAAUUAUUGGGCGUAAAGGGCUCGUAGGCGGUUUGUCGCGUCGGGAGUGAAAACUUCGGGCUUAACUCGGAGCUUGCUUUCGAUACGGGCAGACUUGAGGCAUUCAGGGGAGAACGGAAUUUCUGGUGUAGCGGUGAAAUGCGCAGAUAUCAGAAGGAACACCGGUGGCGAAGGCGGUUCUCUGGGAAUGUUCUGACGCUGAGGAGCGAAAGUGUGGGGAGCGAACAGG
rnacentral:rRNA from 1 species